rnacentral:rRNA from 1 species
UUAAGCGACUAAGCGUACACGGUGGAUGCCCUGGCAGUCAGAGGCGAUGAAGGACGUGCUAAUCUGCGAAAAGCGCCGGCGAGGUGAUAUGAACCCUUGACCCGGCGAUGUCCGAAUGGGGAAACCCAGUGCAAUCCGUUGCACUAUCGUUAGCUGAAUACAUAGGUUAACGAGGCGAACCGGGGGAACUGAAACAUCUAAGUACCCCGAGGAAAAGAAAUCAACCGAGAUUCCCCCAGUAGCGGCGA